rnacentral:tRNA from 1 species
AGCUGAGUUGGAAGCCAAAUCAUCAGAGCAUGACGACCAUAUUCCUAAUCUGGGGGUCCCGCGUUCGAAUCGCGGCGGGAUCACCA